rnacentral:rRNA from 1 species
GAUUAUCGCUGGCGGCGUGCCUAAUACAUGCAAGUCGAGCGAAUGGAUUAAGAGCUUGCUCUUAUGAAGUUAGCGGCGGACGGGUGAGUAACACGUGGGUAACCUGCCCAUAAGACUGGGAUAACUCCGGGAAACCGGGGCUAAUACCGGAUACAUUUUGAACCGCAUGGUUCGAAAUUGAAAGGCGGCUUCGGCUGUCACUUAUGGAUGGACCCGCGUCGCAUUAGCUAGUUGGUGAGGUAACGGCGCACCAAGGCAACGAUGCGUAGCCGACCUGGGAGGGUGAUCGGCCACACUGGGACUGAGACACGGCCCAGACUCCUACGGGAGGCAGCAGUAGGGAAUCUUCCGCAAUGGACGAAAGUCUGACGGAGCAACGCCGCGUGAGUGAUGAAGGCUUUCGGGUCGUAAAACUCUGUUGUUAGGGAAGAACAAGUGCUAGUUGAAUAAGCUGACACCUUGACGGUACCUAACCAGAAAGCCACGGCUAACUACGUGCCAGCAGCCGCGGUAA